UGACCACCUGUCGGGAAUUGCUGCACUGACCAGACUUCAGCAUCACCAGGACAUCGACUGAUAAGACAUUACAUCCACUGUACUGAGACAAAAGCCUUGGUCCGUCUGCAGAACACUCACAUCCCUGUCAGAUAGAGUUAAUGAGGGAUAUGUACAAUGGAAUAAUGCAUCACGUUAUGGGACUAUGCUAUUCAGUCUCCAUCUUUUCUUUAUACAGCAUGACAUGUUAAAAACAUAGCAGAAAAAUAGGACACCUUUGUGAUAUAAAAAAUAAAUGAUUUGACGCCACAGAAGUGUCAGAAGUCAAUCACAUACGCUUUAAAGAGUAGACGCAGCGCAAGGCACGGUGUUCUAUGUUCACAUCCUACAGACAACAGAUAGCUCGGUGGAAAAUUAGCUUUUGUUGUUUUGUGACAACAUGUAGUGAAGGAUGCUGGGAUUCCUCAGUCAUCUAUUUUUUUUAAAGUACCAAUGGAUUGGACAACUAAAAGAAAGGCAAAUAGCUUGCAACAGCAAUACGAGAAUUUUGCAGGAUGUCCCGGCAUUGAAAUGUGAAGCAUUUAGCAACGUAACAGAUAUUAUUCUUGUUUUUUGGCUACCUCCCAAUUAGAGGCUUCCACAUUCCAAACCUCUCGUCAGCCUCCUAAAUAGAUUCCUGCUGCUGGUAGAUUAUAAAGGCCAAAGCCCUGAGGCGAUGCUAUUACAUAUUCACCGGCAUAACUAUAGGCCACAGUUCUAGACCUUGUGUCAGGAGCGAUCAGAAAGCAAACAUACUUCCAGCCCUUGUCCCUCUCUUCAUCAAUAAUUCCUUCAGGCCAUGUGAGAUGGCAAGAAGUACCUUUCAGCUUCAUUAUGGUUACUUGAGAGACUUCCAGGCCACGCAUCAGUGGAGGCAGUCUAUUCCUCUGUGGGAAACCCUACCGGUCUAUGGGGAGAAUCAGGGGGAAGCAGUCAGCGGUGGCUGCUCUCUUAGCUGGAAACUUCACUCCUGUGCACUUUUCGUGCAAUCAAUCAUGAAAGAAGGUCAACAGACAGCUUUCAAAUAACUGAUCCAUUUAACUACUGACAUUGAUCUGGACGAGAGAAGUCGAGGUGGGAGGGGUGUAGGAGAACACUGAAACCUAAGCCCCUUGAACUGAAGGAGAAAGACCAAACAUAUACAUCACCGUGAAUCUCACAGUAGUUCACUUUCUAACCUUAAGUGGUGUUUACACUGACAAAGUGAGCCUGUGUACCUAAGUUCCUUUGGGCCUAUUCGGACAAUGCUAUAAUACAAUGAUUGUUCUUAUUGUCAUUGUUUCUGUUUUACCAUCUCCACACCUAGCAGUUGAUACUUUUGCCCUACAAAUAUAAAUAAUUAUAUUUUUCUGCUGUAAAUUCUAAAGAAAAGGAUAUUUCCAAAUAUGAAAGCUAGGGGAAAAAGGAUUACAAUAUAAGAGAGAGUAUAGCGCUCAAGGUUGUAUGGAAUCAAAGUCAAAGUAAAAUAUUAAAUAGCAGAAACCAAUUUAUAAAAUAAUAGGAUAAUAGAACAAAUUAAACUAC